rnacentral:rRNA from 1 species
UACAGAGGUCUCAAGCGUUGUUCGGAUUCAUUGGGCGUAAAGGGUGCGUAGGCGGCGCGGUAAGUCGGGUGUGAAAUCUUGGAGCUUAACUCCGAAACUGCAUUCGAUACUGCCGUGCUUGAGGACUGGAGAGGAGACUGGAAUUUACGGUGUAGCGGUGGAAUGCGUAGAUAUCGUAAGGAAGACCAGUGGCGAAGGCGGGUCUCUGGACAGUUCCUGACGCUGAAGCACGAAGGCCAGGGGAGCAAACGGG